UUUGGAUAUGAGUUUGUGAAU
rnacentral:piRNA from 1 species